rnacentral:rRNA from 1 species
GACAGAGGGUGCAAACGUUGCUCGGAAUCACUGGGCGUAAAGGGCGUGUAGGCGGGAAGGAAAGUCAGACGUGAAAUCCCUCGGCUCAACCGGGGAACUGCGUCUGAGACUGGAAGGCUUGAAUCCGGGAGAGGGAUGUGGAAUUCCAGGUGUAGCGGUGAAAUGCGUAGAUAUCUGGAGGAACACCGGUGGCGAAGGCGGCAUCCUGGACCGGUAUUGACGCUGAGGCGCGAAAGCCAGGGGAGCAAACGGG